UACCACGUUGAAUACGUUCCCGGGUCUUGUACACACCGCCCGUCACACCACGAAAGUUGGGGGUACCCGAAGCGCCUAUAUGGGUUCUAAGGUAAAGUCAGCGAUUGGGGUG
rnacentral:rRNA from 1 species